AAAAUUCACGUUGGACACCAUCUGUUAUCACCAGUACCACUGCACUGCAUUACAAGUUACUGAUUAAAGAAAUACCUGACAGUGAGGGGCUAUUUUCACUCCCUGAAACUGAAUGGAAUAAUAAUUGUAUGUACUCAAUUGAUAUACAACUGUGAAAGAUCUGCCUUGCAUACUGAAAUCAACAAAGACCAAGAAGUUCAAAGAAAACGUAAUAGUCAACCUGUUCCUGUUCUAAGUGUCUCAGAUGUCUCUGGCCAGUUAAUAUUGCUAUAUACUUGGACUCUUCUUUCCUGUGUUUAUUGUGUGCCUCCAAUCUACAGCUUUACAAUAAUUCACUUAUAGGAAAAUGGAGAAAUAGCCAGCCCCAAGGCUCUUUUAGCAUGGUACUCAGAGUUAUACCAUUAUGUGGAAGACAUUCUGUACAUAAUUGAAAAGAAACUAUUUGAAAUAUAAUAGCCCAACUGCAUCUGAGUAAGUUAUUGCUUCACAACUGCUAACGAUAACCUGUAUUGCACUUGUUGUAAUAUUUAUGCCUGUAGAUGUAAUACAUUGCAACAAUUCAUAUCUAUUAUAGACAUGAAGGCAUAAAUGGGUUUAAUCAGACAUGUAAUUAUUUUUAUGCCUCCAACUCAAAAAUAUGCAUAAAUGAAUUUAUGGUUAUUUGGCAAUCACUGGGAAUAGUGUUUAUAAAUGUUGAAACAGCUGUUGGCAAAUGUAUGUGCAAAAGCAAGGAAAACAGCUUUUCACACCUAUUAGUCAAGUUAGCAAUAAACUACUCUUCCUUAUUUAAUACCUUAGGGCCAGAUUCUGAGCUUAUCUACACCACUGUAAAUUCAAAGCAACUUUUCUGAAAUCAGUCUAUUUACUCUGAAUUUGUGGGAGUGUAAGCGAUAUCAGACUUUGGUCCCAAAUCUUUGAAUAGUUGUUUCAUCAUCCUUGAUAUUGUCUGUAAAUAUGAACAUAUAUAACAGCAAUUUCCUGUGGGAUUGAGAGAAUAUUUUAUUAAAUGAGGAUUUACUAUACAUUUCUCUGCCUUAACUCUUUCCGUUUAAUUUCAUAGUUGAA